UAAAGCAUUACUGGAAUUUCUGACGCAGUUAGUUACAGCCCAGCAAAUUUUUAUCAAUAAGGCAAAACUAAAGUUCAAUUUGUCGAUAACCAUUUUGUAUCAAGCGAAUUCUACUGUCAGGGAAUCUUGUUAAUCAUGUUGGAAGUUACAUGUAAUGAUAGACUGGGGAAGAAAGUUCGAGUAAAAUGCAAUUCUGAUGAUACAAUUGGUGAUCUCAAGAAACUCGUUGCUGCUCAGACUGGAACAAAGUGGGACAGAAUAGUGCUAAAGAAAUGGUAUACAAUCUUCAAAGAUCAUAUAUCACUGGGUGAUUAUGAAAUUCACGAUGGAAUGAAUCUUGAAUUAUAUUAUCAAUAGAGUAUCGUUAUUGUGUUGUUACUGUC